CCUACGGUGCGCAGCAGUGGGGAAUAUUGCACAAUGGGGGAAACCCUGAUGCAGCGACGCCGCGUGAGCGAUGAAGUAUUUCUGUAUGUAAAGCUCUAUCAGCAGGGAAGAAAAUGACGGUACCUGACUAAGACGCCCCGGCCAACUACGUUCCAGCCGCCGCGGUACUACGUAGGGGGCAAGCGUUAUCCGGAUUUACUGGGUGUAAAGGGAGCGUAGACGGCUUGGCAAGCCAGACGUGAAAGGCUGGGGCUCAACCCCAGGACUGCAUUUGGAACUGUCAUGCUAGAGUGUCGGAGAGGUAGGCGGAAUUCCUGGUGUAGCGGUGAAAUGCGUAGAUAUUAGGAGGAACACCAGUGGCGAAGGCGGCCUGCUGGACGAUGACUGACGUUGAGGCUCGAAAGCGUGGGGAGCAAACAGGAUUAGAUACCCGGGUAGUC
rnacentral:rRNA from 1 species